rnacentral:rRNA from 1 species
UACGUAGGGGGCUAGCGUUGUCCGGAUUUAUUGGGCGUAAAGAGCGUGUAGGCGGCCAGACAGGUCUGUUGUGAAAACUGGAGGCUCAACCUCCAGACGUCGAUGGAAACCGUCUGGCUAGAGUCCGGAAGAGGAGAGUGGAAUUCCUGGUGUAGCGGUGAAAUGCGCAGAUAUCAGGAAGAACACCCGUGGCGAAAGCGGCUCUCUGGGACGGUACUGACGCUGAGACGCGAAAGCGUGGGGAGCGAUCCGG